UGGUUGCUUUUUUUUUUGUUUAUUUCUCUCCCCCCCUGUACGUUCUAUAAAAAAAAAAGCGAAAAUAAAAUUGCUGAAAAUGAAUCUGCUGCAAUUAUCAGGGCAUAAACGUCUUUUAACAUUUGAGGAGUUUAUGCAGAACAAUUGUGGACAGAA
rnacentral:snoRNA from 1 species